rnacentral:rRNA from 1 species
GACUCGUCACACUAUCAUUAACUGAAUCCAUAGGUUAAUGAGGCGAACCGGGGGAACUGAAACAUCUAAGUACCCCGAGGAAAAGAAAUCAACCGAGAUUCCCCCAGUAGCGGCGAGCGAACGGGGAGGAGCCCAGAGCCUGAAUCAGCAUGUGUGUUAGUGGAAGCGUCUGGAAAGGCGCGCGAUACAGGGUGACAGCCCCGUACACAAAAGCGCAUGUGCUGUGAGCUCGAUGAGUAGGGCGGGACACGUGGUAUCCUGUCUGAAUAUGGGGGGACCAUCCUCCAAGGCUAAAUACUCCUGACUGACCGAUAGUGAACCAGUACCGUGAGGGAAAGGCGAAAAGAACCCCGGCGAGGGGAGUGAAAAAGAACCUGAAACCGUGUACGUACAAGCAGUGGGAGCACCCUUUGGGGUGUGACUGCGUACCUUUUGUAUAAUGGGUCAGCGACUUAUAUUCUGUAGCAAGGUUAACCGUAUAGGGGAGCCGUAGGGAAACCGAGUCUUAACCGGGCGUUAAGUUGCAGGGUAUAGACCCGAAACCCGGUGAUCUAGCCAUGGGCAGGUUGAAGGUUGGGUAACACUAACUGGAGGACCGAACCGACUAAUGUUGAAAAAUUAGCGGAUGACCUGUGGCUGGGGGUGAAAGGCCAAUCAAACCGGGAGAUAGCUGGUUCUCCCCGAAAGCUAUUUAGGUAGCGCCUCGUGAAUUCAUCUCCGGGGGUAGAGCACUGUUUCGGCUAGGGGGCCAUCCCGGCUUACCAACCCGAUGCAAACUGCGAAUACCGGAGAAUGUUAUCACGGGAGACACACGGCGGGUGCUAACGUCCGUCGUGAAGAGGGAAACAACCCAGACCGCCAGCUAAGGUCCCAAAGUCAUGGUUAAGUGGGAAACGAUGUGGGAAGGCCCAGACAGCCAGGAUGUUGGCUUAGAAGCAGCCAUCAUUUAAAGAAAGCGUAAUAGCUCACUGGUCGAGUCGGCCUGCGCGGAAGAUGUAACGGGGCUAAACCAUGCACCGAAGCUGCGGCAGCGACGCUGAUGCGUUGUUGGGUAGGGGAGCGUUCUGUAAGCCUGCGAAGGUGACCUGUGAGGGU